UCAGGUUCGUCAGGCAGCGGGCCCGUGUCGCAGCGCAGCCCCUGGCCGAGAACGCUGGCGAGCGCUGGUUUAUUUUGGAGAAAUUAAACUGUGACGGUGGCUGAAAA